CUGGAAUGUUGAGUCAAAAGCUGACAAAUUUAGCGGGAACAUUGGUCAGAUUACAAGUUUGGAAAAUUAUCAGCUAUACAGCAUCAGUCCCCAUUAACUUUCACUGUAUGGAGAAGAGCAGAAGAAGAACAUCUCCUGCUGAGAGGAACGAACAACAUGAAGUACUUUGCAGUUCGGCGGGUCACACAAUCCUGUUCAUUAGCCUCCUGCUCUAGUGACCCGCAGGAGGCCAUCAGAUUAUGGCGACGCAUCUCUGCUCACCGCGUUUUCCUGCUCCAUGCCAAAUCAACAGAUGCCUAAGGAGACUAGCGGAUUUUACACACAAGACCCAGACUGAGCCAGAGAGCAGAACCUUCCAGCAAGAGCUCAGGCUGAGAGUUGAUCACAACCUAGGAAAUCCUGUGCCACCCAUUGGGGCUGAUGGGAAGGUGCUGCUUUAAAAAUAGAAAUGUGUGCCAGGCCGGGAACAAAGAACAGUUGCUGAGUGCAGCGGAAAAGAAUGGGCACUGAGUGAUCGCUUUUCCUUUGACGUGUGAUAACUUACACUUAACUCUUACCCCACCGCUGACGAGUUAUCUUGUCUUUUAGAAGACAACACUUCCCCGCCAAAGACGAGUUUUUACAGCUUUUUGUGUUUUCACUGUUAUACACUCGGGGGCGCUAUUACACAUCUUCUGAACGAGUACAAAACCUCCCGAACAAAAACACACGUGAACAGGAUGGAGAAACGAGCAAUCUCUUAUAUAAACAGAUGCAUAUUAGAAAUAAUGCAAUCAUCAGCAUUUAAAUGGAAAUUGCAUAAUGUUACGGAGUAAAAUGUUGCUGGAGGCUUUUUGCUGUACCAUGUUUUUGUAGCACCAUGGUACUUUUUUGUGAGUCAUUAACAAGAUACUCAUGGUAUUUACAUGGUAAAUGGUACAUGUCCAAAAUGGUAGUACUGUGACAUUUCAAGUCAUUAAAAAUGAUACUAUAGUAUUUGACAUGGUACCAUGUUACUGGUUGCAGAUACCAUGGUCCGUUAAUAUUUGUAUAUUCUAAUACAAUGUUACAUCUCAACGUACCAUGGUAAUGCCGUCUAACACCAUCAGUGUAUCAUGUUAUCACCCCAGUGCUUUUCUGAGUAAACACCAUGGUAUAUCUAAAAGUAUCAUGUGACAUGUCACAUACAAUGGUAGGCAAACAGUAUGUACUGUAAUGUUAUGCAACAGUGCUAUGGCUAAUAAUUAUGUUUCAAAAUGGACUGAUAGACUGUAACAAAAUUGGGGUUUAAAAGGCCAGAUUCUUUGUGUGUGUGUGUGUGUGUGUGUGUGGGGAGCGGAAACAAAAGAUGGUGGAAGGGGGA